rnacentral:rRNA from 1 species
ACGAAGGGUGCUAGCGUUGUUCGGAAUCACUGGGCGUAAAGCGUACGUAGGCGGCUUUGUAAGUCGAUUGUGAAAUCCCCAGGCUUAACUUGGGAACUGCAAUCGAAACUGCUUGGCUUGAAUAUGGUCGAGGGUAGUAGAAUUCCUAGUGUAGGGGUGAAAUCCGUAGAUAUUAGGAGGAAUACCGGUGGCGAAAGCGACUACCUAGGCCAUUAUUGACGCUGAGGUACGAAAGCGUGGGGAGCAAACAGG